UACGUAGGGUGCAAGCGUUGUCCGGAAUUAUUGGGCGUAAAGAGCUCGUAGGCGGCUUGUUGCGUCGGUUGUGAAAACCCGGGGCUCAACCCCGGGCCUGCAGUCGAUACGGGCAGGCUAGAGUCCGGCAGGGGAGACUGGAAUUCCUGGUGUAGCGGUGAAAUGCGCAGAUAUCAGGAGGAACACCGAUGGCGAAGGCAGGUCUCUGGGCCACUACUGACGCUGAGAAGCGAAAGCAUGGGGAGCGAACAGG
rnacentral:rRNA from 1 species